GGACUGGUUUCUGGGAAUAUCAGCAGCUGUUCCUGUUUCUAUGAUGUUCUAAACAGAAAAGAAAAAUGAUUUCCUCAAAUAAGGAAACCUCAUAAAGCCUGAUCAGGUUGUGUCGGUUGCUGUUGGCGGUGCUGCUGUGGGGACCUGAAGAUGCUUUAUAGGGGGGAAAGUGAAGUGAUUAAAAAAACCCUGCAGUCAAAUUAAAGCACUUCUGGCCGCUAAAGAAUUGAAAACAAAUGAAAAGAGGAACAAUGUCAGAGGUUCCUCUUUUGCUGUCUGCUCAGGACUCUAACCAGGUCAGCUGGUCUGUUCUACCGCCUCAUGAGGUUGUUAGCUUUCUGGUUGGCGGCGUCGAUGCGGGAGACGUUCAGGUUGGCCUGCAGACAAAGACAGGAAACAGGUGCUUCAUUACAGGAAGAACAGUCUGGAAUAUUCUACGAGUGUGGUGCUCCCCAGCGAUAAUGCAGCCUGUUGAAUCAGAAACGAGGUGAUGGAAACACGGAGGGGAAACUAAAAUGGCCGUGGCACACCAGGAAGUCCGGUGAGACGUCUUUGUAUCUUUUUUUCCCUCCGUUAAUUUCAGUCCACAAACAAUCGCUACUGCUUCUUCCCCUUCGGACAUGUUUGUUUUCUCUGAUUUCAUAUUUGAUCUCAAGUGGCUUAUAGAGAUUUCCCGUCUGACUCUUGAAUGUUGAUGAGUGAAAUCGGUCUGCGUGCGGUGUGUCGUCUUUGCUGUAGCACUGUAGGACCAAACCUGUUAUUUCUAUCAUCAUGAGUGGAGUCUCUCAGGUUUUUAAAAUCUUGCCAGGGAACCAGGGAUCAGUAGGGGUUAACUGGAGUGGUGAUUCCCUGUUUGUUAGUGUUUUUAAAAACAUUUUCCAGCUCUAUCCUAACACUGAGGAGUCGUAGGUUUCAUACCGCCUCCGUAAUGCGGAUGAUCUGAUCUUUCUGUGACUCCAGCUCAUUGCCGAUGUCCAGAGCCAUGCUUUUCAGAUUUCCCACGAUGCUCCCCACGUGAGCCAGGUUUUCCUCCAUCUCAUCCUCUCUGGCGUCGUCCAUCACCCUGAAACAAAGGAGGCAGUGUGUGUGUGUGUGUGUGUGUGAUGACGUUGCAUGUUUGAGCAGCUGCCUUGGGGAGUUAAUGACGGCUUGGAUUACCUCCAGGCUGUCAGAAUAAAAGCAAACACCCACCAGGCUGCUACCUCGCUAGCUGCUCUGUGUACCUGCGGAUGUGUCCUCCACUCAUCAUCAUCUGCUCUCGCUGGUCGACGACCCGAGACGUUGGAGGCUGAUUGGCUAUAGCCCCAUCCUGAUUGGAGGCUCCGCCCCAAACUGCCUUGUACGCCCUGCUCUCCUCGAAGGCUUUCAGUCUGAGAGAAGAAAGUGACCUCGUCAAUGACCUCUAAUUGUGUACAGCUGUUGAUGUCAGAAAAUGGCAGAAUGUUCUCCAUUAAAACUUAAAUUAAGCGACCCGGACCUCAAAGCGGUCCAAAAUGCUGCCCAGCUGGCUUGUUACCAUUGCAGAGAUCCCCUAGCUUCCCGCGAAGCGAUCCAACGAAGCAUGCAUGAGGCUUUCCAGCUGAGCCUCGAAGCGCUAGAAAAAAAGGCCAGACAGCUGAAGGCUUCGGAAAAGAGGGUGCAGCAUCUCCUCAAUGAAGUUGAGCAUGCCAACAAGAAAUUGGUUGCUGCCCAACAAAAAAUUGAAAUAUUGGAGGGCUGCACAGCAUUUUAUGUUGAUGAAAAAACCGAUGCAACGACCCAGACACAGGACGAGGAGGAAGAAGUCUCAGAGAUGAGUUGCAUUGCUGAAGAUUAAUUUUUUUUUCUUUAAGUUCAGUGUUUUUGUAUGUUUUUUUUCAAAAUGGUUCUAUUAAAAUGGUUUUACUUUUCUGAAUGGAUUCAUUUUACAUUUUUGUAACAUGAUAAAACAAGAUAACCCUUCUAGGGUAAAAUGUAGUUUAAUGUGAAGUUGAGUUAAAGUUUUAGGGAAGGUCCAAGUGGGAUAUUAACAGACUAAAAGUAAGUUUGGUAUAAAUGUUGAUGUCACACAACUGUGUUAUGGUUUUGACAGAGCUUAGAUGGAAGGGAAGAUUUUAUUUAUUUUGUUGGUUUCUAUUUUUAUUGAGCAACAUGGAUGGUGGUUAAAGUAUGGUAUGGACAACCCAAAGAACCAACACCAGAACCGGUUGAUUAAGGAGCUGAAGGAGGGAGAGACAGGGAGCAGCAACAUCUGCAGCAGGUGGGAUAGUGAGAAGUGAGACGCAAAGGAUACUUUGAAGAUGACUUGUACACACACUGGCCAGUGCAACAAAGAUUCUGGAAAAAUGGAGUAUUUCUAAUUUAUUUCUAUUUCCUUCUAAUUUAAUCUUUAUUAAAUUAGAUAAAUUUAUUAGUUGAAAUAACUAAUAAAAUGGAGUGAUCAGAAUUAAUUUAGUAAAAUAUAAACGCUGUGCUUUUUUCUACAAGUAAAUAGUCACAUCAAAAAGUUAGAAAUGUCUAGUUUCUUACAGCAUAGUUAAACAAAGUUAGAGAUGUUAUCUUUACUGCUUUUUUCCCCCAAUUCCCAAAUAUAUUGGGGUGUGUGACAGACUGUGUGAAUGACAGGCAUUAACUUAUAAUACUUUUUAUAACAAUGUUUUAUGAACUUUGGUACAUUUACUUGUAUUAGAUACACCACAUUCAAUUUUGGGGAUGGUGUGACUUAUUGCAGCAACUAGUCAAAAUUUGUUUUAAGAUAUCUCCAAAUGAAUUAGCGAUAUUUUUAAUUAGAUGGCUUAUCCAUUUAAGAUAUCUUAAAAUAAUUACGUUCAGAUAUGUUAAAUUAUGAUAAUAGAUAUGUGUCCCGUUAAAUAACAGAUGAAGUGACAUCAUUUGAGAUAUUUUGAGAGUAACUUUCACUUGUCAAAAUGUAAUGUAAGAUGUCAUAAAUAAACAAGUUCCAAAGUAAUGGAUUUGGAUGGAUGGUUAGGAAAUGGAUUAAAAUGUAUGGAUUAGAGGACAAGGAAAUAGCUCAUUUUAAUCCAAUUAGCGUUAUUCCUCCAUGGUUAAUACCAGAGGUUAAUGUAGAUUUGAAAAUUAAUACAAUGAAAAAUGAUUGGAAUUUAAAUGAAAUAGGGAUCAAGACUGAUAUUUAUUUAAGAAAUACAUAUAACAAUUAUCUUAAAAUUUAUACAGAUGGAUCUAAGAAUCUAAAAGGAUAUGUGGGAAUAGGAAUAUAUAUAUCAGAGUUUAAAAAAUGUAUUUCUAAAAGAAUAUCAGAUCAUUUGUCGGUUUUUACAGCAGAAAUGGUGGCAGUUAUAUUAAGCUUGCAAUGGGUUGAGGAGGUCCGACCAGACAGGGUGGUGGUGUGCACAGAUUCCAAAGCUGUAGUAGAAAGUAUUAAGGGAGAAGGAAACGAUAGAAAAGAUUUUAUAUUAGAAAUUCAUCAUAUUUUAUUUAGAUUAUAUAGGGGUGGCAUUGAUGUUUGGUUUUGUUGGGUGCCAGCACAUGAAGGAGUAAAAGGCAAUGAAAAGGCAGAUAAAUUAGCUAAAAGGGCUUUAGAGGGGGAAAUAACAAUUUCAAUUCCUUUUGGAAAAGGGGAAGGGAAAUCACUUAUUAAAAGUAAAGAAAUGGAGAAAUGGCAAGAAAUGUGGAAUGAA